CUCCCAAGUCUAUUNCCCGAACGGGUGANUAACGCGUGGAUGACCUGCCCUUUUUUGNNGAACAACCAGGGGAAACUCUGGCUAAUACCGCAUAAGACCGAAAGGUGAAAGGGGGCCGCAAGGCUCUCGCUGAAGGANGGGUCCNCGUCCGAUUAGCUAGUUGGUAGGGUAAUGGCCUACCAAGGCGACGAUCGGUAGCCGGCCUGAGAGGGUGAUCGGCCACACUGGAACUGAGACACGGUCCAGACUCCUACGGGAGGCAGCAGUGGGGAAUUUUGCGCAAUGGGCAAACGCCUGACGCAGCAACGCCGCGUGGAGGAUGAAGGUCUUUGGAUUGUAAACUCCUGUCAGCGGGGAAAAAGGGACCUGGGCUAAUACCCUANGGACUUGAUUGUACCCCGCAGAGGAAGCCCCGGCUAACUCUGUGCCAGCAGNCCGCGGUAUUACAGAGGGGGCAAGCGUUAUUUCGGAAUUNUUGGGCCGUAAANGGCCNCGUNAGGCGGCUUUGCAAGUGGCGGGUGAAUCCCUCGGCUUAACCGAGGAACUGCCUGCCAGACUGUGAGGCUUGAGACCGGGAGAGGUGAGUGGAAUUCCCAGUGUAGCGGUGAAAUGCGUAGAUAUUGGGAGGAACACCAGUGGCGAAGGCGGCUCACUGGACCGGAACUGACGCUGAGGCGCGAAAGCGUGGGGAGCAAACAGGAUUAGAUACCCUGGUAGUCCACGCCGUAAACGAUGAGUGCUUGGUGUAGCGGGUAUCGACCCCUGCUGUGCCGACGUCANCACAUUAAGCACUCCGCCUGGGGGAGUACGGUCGCAAGACUGAAACUCAAAGNANU
rnacentral:rRNA from 1 species